UUAGAUAAAGUGUUAAACAUAUUAUUUUUGGAUAAUAAUGAAAUUCAUCUAUA
rnacentral:tRNA from 1 species